rnacentral:misc_RNA from 1 species
UGGGUGGCUUGUCAUCUGCACAUCUGCCAUUAAUAAAAUGCAAACAAAUAUUCUUUAUACAAGUACAGAAUCUCUAUGGAACAGAAAUAGGUUAAUUACUAGAAUUCAGCAUAUUUUAAGCAUUAAUCCUGUAAAGGGAGUCUUAAAAGGUCCAUCAUCGAGUAAUUGGACUGUAAUGUAAAAUAAAAAAAAAGUAAUUUUACGAUCUUGAAAUUGCACAACAUGAUAUUCAACCAAGCUUCAGAAGCUUAACCAUUGUCAACAGAAAAUCUGACAAGGAAAACAACUUAUGUAGCUCAACUAUGACUCAGCUCAUAGCAUGUGAAGAUUUCUACGGAAAAUAAUAUCCGAUGCAGUUCAUAAGGAAAAUAAGUUUAGCCUAGGGCCUAGGCUAGGCUAAACAUG